rnacentral:rRNA from 1 species
GACGAACGCUGGCGGCGUGCUUAACACAUGCCAGUCGAACGGAAAGGCCCUGCUUUUGUGGGGUGCUCGAGUGGCGAACGGGUGAGUAACACGUGAGUAACCUGCCCUUGACUUUGGGAUAACUUCAGGAAACUGGGGCUAAUACCGGAUAGGAGCUCCUGCUGCAUGGUGGGGGUUGGAAAGUUUCGGCGGUUGGGGAUGGACUCGCGGCUUAUCAGCUUGUUGGUGGGGUAGUGGCUUACCAAGGCUUUGACGGGUAGCCGGCCUGAGAGGGUGACCGGCCACAUUGGGACUGAGAUACGGCCCAGACUGCUACGGGAGGAAGCAGUGGGGAAUAUUGCACAAUGGGCGGAAGCCUGAUGCAGCAACGCCGCGUGCGGGAUGACGGCAUUCGGGUGGUAAACCGCUUUCGCCUGUGACGAAGCGUGAGUGACGGUAAUGGGUAAAGAAGCACCGGCUAACUACGU